rnacentral:misc_RNA from 1 species
UCCGGUUUGUCACCGGCAGUCUCGCAUGAGUCCCCAACUAAAUGCUGGCAUCAUGCGACAGGGGUUGCGCUCGUUGCGGGACUUAACCCAACAUCUCACGACACGAGCUGACGACAACCAUGCACCACCUGUAUACCGCCCUUGCGGACCCCGUAUCUCUACGAGUUUUCGGUAUAUGUCAAGCCUUGGUAAGGUUCUUCGCGUUGCGUCGAAUUAAACCACAUGCUCCACCGCUUGUGCGGGCCCCCGUCAAUUCCUUUGAGUUUCAGCCUUGCGGCCGUACUCCCCAGGCGGGACACUUACUGCGUUAGCGACGGCACCGAGGGGGUCGCUCCCCCCGACGCCUAGUGUCCAUCGUUUACGGCGUGGACUAC